GGUCAGCAUGACUCAGCGCAAGUCUGUGGCCCCAUGGCCUGGCUUAUCCUGUGGUCCCUCCAAAGUGAAGAUCCUGAGUUUCAGCUCUUUGUGGGUAGGAGGACAGCGAUCUGCGAGACCCUGUGAGCAGAGGAAACGACAACCAUGCAGCUGCUCUGUUCUUGUCAGAGGUGAGGCAAACCCAGCGGGACUGCGGAGUGUUCCUUCACAGUGAGAUCCCGUCUGACAGCCAGUCCUGGCUGAUGCAGCCCACGGUGAACCCCGAAGCUGCAGAGACUCCUACUCCUUUCUCCUUUGUGCACCACCUCCUGUGGGAGCACCUCCGACGAGAUCCACAGCCCUCCAGCCACCACCUUUAUAAUAACCUCCACCACAUUGCGCUCGGCCAACUGGACAAGUGGGUAGGCCAUGGAGGGUCCUUGGGGUGUUUGCUGAACUGAGUCAAAUGUGGAUUCGAGGCCAGGGUGGGAGGGCAGAGC